CUUGCUCCUGGAUUCAGCGGCGGACGGGUGAGUAAUGCCUAGGAAUCUGCCUGGUAGUGGGGGAUAACGUCCGGAAACGGGCGCUAAUACCGCAUACGUCCUGAGGGAGAAAGUGGGGGAUCUUCGGACCUCACGCUAUCAGAUGAGCCUAGGUCGGAUUAGCUAGUUGGUGGGGUAAAGGCCUACCAAGGCGACGAUCCGUAACUGGUCUGAGAGGAUGAUCAGUCACACUGGAACUGAGACACGGUCCAGACUCCUACGGGAGGCAGCAGUGGGGAAUAUUGGACAAUGGGCGAAAGCCUGAUCCAGCCAUGCCGCGUGUGUGAAGAAGGUCUUCGGAUUGUAAAGCACUUUAAGUUGGGAGGAAGGGCAGUAAGUUAAUACCUUGCUGUUUUGACGUUACCAACAGAAUAAGCACCGGCUAACUUCGUGCCAGCAGCCGCGGUAAUACGAAGGGUGCAAGCGUUAAUCGGAAUUACUGGGCGUAAAGCGCGCGUAGGUGGUUCAGCAAGUUGGAUGUGAAAUCCCCGGGCUCAACCUGGGGAACUGCAUCCAAAACUACUGAGCUAGAGUACGGUAGAGGGGUGGGUGGAAAUUUCCUGUGUAGCGGUGAAAUGCGU
rnacentral:rRNA from 1 species